UACAGAGGGGGCGAGCGUUGUUCGGAAUUACUGGGCGUAAAGGGCGCGUAGGCGGCCUCUUAAGUCGAACGUGAAAUCCCCGGGCUCAACCCGGGAACUGCGUCCGAUACUGGGAGGCUUGAAUCCGGGAGAGGGAUGUGGAAUUCCAGGUGUAGCGGUGAAAUGCGUAGAUAUCUGGAGGAACACCGGUGGCGAAGGCGGCAUCCUGGACCGACAUUGACGCUGAGGAGCGAAAGCCAGGGGAGCAAACGGG
rnacentral:rRNA from 1 species